AGUAGGAAAAAAUUUGCAUCUCACAUAAGAUCAGCCCUUCAAAUUCCUAAUUGUCUCUCUAAUGCUGCCCUCUGACUAAAGGGGAGUUUCAGGAAAGUGGAGGCUAGAGUAAAAGUGACCAUAGUCAGCUAUUGACUCCAUCUUUUUCCUGCCCCUUGGCUUUGCCCCAUUAACUGCAAGGGAUGAUUUUCAAGCAGCAGCACUCAAAUCAAGAGGUGUAUAACCUGUGUUAUAAACUAAAUUUAGUGAGCACCUAGCUUGCUAUUUUAGAGUGCUAGGCAACUUGAUAUAAUCUUCUACAUGCUGACCCAUUAUUCUUUCUUACAACCAAUCUAAUGCUUCUUUUAGAUGCCAGUUUUUUAAAAUAUACUUUGUUUUUAUUUUUUAACUUUUCAUAUUUUUUUUAAAUAGUAUUUUUACUCUCUGCUUUUUUUUUUUUGAUGACUGUACCCACUCAUCUAAUGCUGGUCUAUAACUAUUAUAAAGUUGUGAUCUGAUUUGAUUUGCCCCUCACAGAUAACUUUUAUCAUUCACAUUUCCAUUCUAUUACUAAAUAAUAAAUAGAUUUUUCCCUCUCAAUGAAAAUGUUUAUUUCCAGAUCAGAAAGAGGAAUCUAGAAACUCAUAAAUCUCCAGUGUCAUCUUCUAACUUUAUAAAGGACUUAAUGGUUUGAAUGCAGUUUUGUAAGAUCUGUCUGUACGCUUGUUGAUGAGCAACAUGGAAACUGACUCAGAAGAGGAAGGAACCGUAGAGUCUGCAAAGGUAUCAACACUAUUUCCUACUAGCCAGUUGAAAGAGCUUCUUCCACCUAUAAAAAGAGCAUAAGAAUACAGUUCAAGAUGAAUUGUGCUGAGGAGUGGGAGAGACUGGCCCAAAGACACCCAGCUGGCUUUCAUGCCUAAGAAACGACCAGCUGCAGUAAAGGACCCAGCCACCACUUUGCAUACGGUUGGAAAACCUGGAGAAGAAAAAUCCAAGAUUGCCAUUAUAAAAUUUUUUGCAUGUUAACUUUAUUUACAUCUAAUCAAAUUAUUAUUUAAAAGGUUACCCAUGCAAAUACUCAAUAACGCAAAAACAUUGCAUGCCUUACACAAAAAUAUCUAAGCAGAUAAAUUACAUAACACAUUAGUAUUUCAACCUCUGAUUUAUAUUCAUAAUUAAUGAAAGAACUACCUCAAUCAAAUCCCUCUAUUAGCACAUAUUAGUCAACUGCCACCCACAAUAAUACAAAAUAUAAAAUACAAAAUUCUGGGUGAUUACAGAAUGUCUCCUGAAUCAUCAGGUUUUACUGCUUUUGAAACUACCAUCCUUAAAUUAUUGUCAGCUAGCACAACCUUUUAUGAGUUCAAAUAACUGGGUAGAGGAAGAGGGAUAAAUUAAUCAUUACAGGGGAGAUAACACUGCAGUCUACCAGGACACCCAUUAAGAUCAUAAGAAUGUCCUUGUACUCUUUAUUUCGUGAACAGCUAACAAAACUGUAAAUUCUAAUGGUGCUCAUAAAGCUACCAAUCAAAUUUAUGGGCAGUGGCUUUCUGUCUAGAAGAGAUACUAUUUUGCCAAGGAAUUAUCAUCUCUUACUCCAGAGACUUGAGAAAACUUGUGAAUCAGAAGCAGCUUUUACUGUGUUGGGAGGAUUUAUUUUAGAGCAACAGCACAGAGACUGAAUGACAUUGAAGUUAUUUUGCACCCUUGCUUGUUUCCAGUCAAAAUGUAUACAUGGUAAUAACAAUAUUAUAUGACCAUAGUUUGCUCAUAUGAAUCAUUCAUGAAUCCACCUCAGUUAGGAAUCUAUACUUGCUUAGAAAAUUAAUAUAUUUCAAUAAACUGCAAAAAAACAACACCCCAUCCUCACAGGAUCAAAGACAGACUUUAUUUGAUAUCGUUAUGCCUAUAUUUACUUUGAACAACGAACUUUUGUCACUUUUGGUAACACUUGAAAAUCUUGUUCAUAAAGUUAAAUUUUGAUGAAGGUUUUUUUUUCUUUUUCUUUUAUGUACACUGAGAGCAUAUGCACCAAAACAAAUUCCUUGUGUGUCCAAUCACACUUGGCCAAUAAAUUCUAUUCUAUUCUAUUCUAUUCUAUUCUAUUCUAUUCUAUUCUAUUCUAUUCUAUUCUAUUAAUAAAACCACCAGAACGAUUAUCACGAGUAGUCCUUAUAUACUGUCUUGUUUGAAUAGUGUUCAGUUAUGACAGUUGGAAAAAAACAGCUUUGUGACCAAUCCUCACAUCUCAUGGAUGUCACGGCCAUCAAAGUAUCCCAGUCACAGGAUCGCUAUUUGGGUGCUUUACAAUUGGCACUUACAACUGUUGAAGUAGUCUGUGGUCACGUGAUUGCGUUUGCAAGUUUCACAACCAGCUUCUACCAAGUAGAAUUAUUGGAGAAUGUAAAAGUGAAAUCGGAAGUUGAGGUCAUGUGAUAUCCUGCUGAAUGAUCACCGUGACCCCCUUGACGCUGGAAGUGGAAAGGAAACUGUAAGCCUGGCACGGGUCAUCUGAUGCCUUGCUUAGUGACCAUGCUGCAUACGAUGGACUUGCUGGUCACAAUUCUGGUUAUUAAGCAAGGACUAUCUGUAAAGUUCAGAGAUUAUUCUAAUCUCAAUAUUAGCUUCUCUAAUAACCCAAAGAAAUGCAAAUAUACCAGCUAUAUACUACAAUACUUUUCUCAAUCAUAAAAAAGAACUUACUUCCUCUGUGUUCACAAUGAGUUUUGCUAUAAAGAGACGAAUAUUUAGAGGUAUAGUAGAAUUUCCCAGUUUGCUGUGCAAAAACUUCAUC